rnacentral:tRNA from 1 species
GCGGUCGUGGCGGAAUGGUAGACGCGCAGCGUUGAGGUCGCUGUGGGGUAAUACCCGUGGAAGUUCGAGUCUUCUCGACCGCA